rnacentral:rRNA from 1 species
CAGCCGCCGCGGUAAGACAGAGGAUGCAAGCGUUAUUCGGAAUGAUUGGGCGUAAAGCGUGCGUAGGCGGGCUUUUAAGUCAGGGGUGAAAUGCCAAGGCUUAACUUUGGAACUGCCUUUGAUACUGGAAGUCUUGAGUAUGGGAGAGGUGAGUAGAACUGCGGGUGUAGAGGUGAAAUGCGUAGAGAUGUGGAGGAAUACCAGUGGCGAAGGCGGCUCUCUGGUCUGUAACUGACGCUGAGGUGCGAAAGCGUGGGGAGCGAACAGGAUUAGAUACCCCUGUAGUCCCUGUCUCUUAUAC